AACGAACGCUGGCGGCGUGCCUAACACAUGCAAGUCGAGCGCGAAAGGAGCAAUCCGAGUAGAGCGGCGCACGGGUGCGUAACACGUGGAUAAUCUGCCUCAGGGUUGAGGAUAACCUUCCGAAAGGUUGGCUAAUACUCGGUAAGCUUACGGUGACUUUGGUCGCUGUGAGAAAACUAGACCUCUAUUUAUAAGUUUAGGCCCAGAGAUGAGUCCGCGGCCCAUCAGCUAGUUGGCGGGGUAACGGCCCACCAAGGCUACGACGGGUAGCUGGUCUGAGAGGUCGAUCAGCCACACUGGAACGGAGACACGGUCCAGACUCCUACGGGGGGCAGCAGUGGGGAAUUUUCCACAAUGGGCGAAAGCCUGAUGGAGCAACGCCGCGUGUGUGAUGAAGGUCUUCGGAUCGUAAAGCACUUUCGACUGGGACGAAAAACCUUUGGCUAACAUCCAGGGGCCUGACGGUACCAGGAGAAGAAGCACCGGCCAACUACGUGCCAGCCGCCGCCGUAACAC
rnacentral:rRNA from 1 species